rnacentral:rRNA from 1 species
GCAAGCGUUGUUCGGAAUUACUGGGCGUAAAGGGCUCGUAGGUAGCCAAUUAAGUCAGACGUGAAAUCCCCAGGCUCAACUUGGGAACUGCGUCUGAUACUGGUUGGCUUGAAUUCGGGAGAGGGAUGCAGAAUUCCAGGUGUAGCGGUGAAAUGCGUAGAUAUCUGGAGGAAUACCGGUGGCGAAGGCGGCAUCCUGGACCGAGAUUGACACUGAUGAGCGAAAGCCAGGGGAGCAAACGGG